rnacentral:piRNA from 1 species
UGUAGACUCUUGACUUUCAGAUUGUGAC